rnacentral:rRNA from 1 species
CCUACGGGAGGCAGCAGUAAGGAAUAUUGGUCAAUGGACGAAAGUCUGAACCAGCCAUGCCGCGUGAAGGAUGAAGGUCCUCUGGAUUGUAAACUUCUUUUAUCUGGGACGAAAAAAGGGCAUUCUUGCUCACUUGACGGUACCAGAGGAAUAAGCACCGGCUAACUCCGUGCCAGCAGCCGCGGUAAUACGGAGGGUGCAAGCGUUAUCCGGAUUCACUGGGUUUAAAGGUGCGUAGGUGGGUUGGUAAGUCAGUGGUGAAAUCUCCGAGCUUAACUCGGAAACUGCCAUUGAUACUAUCAGUCUUGAAUUUCCUGGAGGUAAGCGGAAUAUGUCAUGUAGCGGUGAAAUGCUUAGAUAUGACAUAGAACACCCAUUGCGAAGGCAGCUUACUACGGGAUAAUUGACACUGAGGCACGAAAGCGUGGGGAUCAAACAGGAUUAGAUACCCUGGUAGUCCACGCCCUAAACGAUGGAUACUCGACAUCAGCGAUACACUGUUGGUGUCUGAGCGAAAGCAUUAAGUAUCCCACCUGGAAGUACGACCGCAAGGUUGAACUCAAAUGAGUAGAGCGNGAGAGAGACGACGGACGACGACGAGGGAGGAGG